GGCAGAGCUGGAAGCAUUUGGAGGACAAUGGAACACAUAAACAGAUGCUGUCACACAGGUGCUUUGCCUGCAGAGACCUGCACCCUCGAGACAGGGCAGCAGUGGCACACGCCAUGCCCUGGAGCCACAUGGGACCUGAGUCCGGGCCCUCUCUGUGCCGUUUCCCCUCCGGGCUUGGGUAAUCAAGCACUUACGGCCUGGGAAGGUGGGGAGUAUGGAACCAAGCCAUGCCCAGUCCUCAAUCAGGUGUCAUCGAUCAGGUGGAGUCUUGAAGGGUCUCUGUAAAGGCUCUCACGGUGGAAAACGGCCCCACGUCAGCUGGGACCAGGUGAUGGCUGCUGUCUUUGCUGCUACCGUGCUGGCAAUGUCGGCAUCAGGCCCCUAGAGAGCUGCCACUCAGGUAUGCCCUGUCUUGGAGGGCCGUCCGCUUCAACUGCUGGCUGCUGUGGCGUGGCAGAGGCGACAGCUCGGGGGUCCCCUGGUGCCAUACUGACCAGUUUCAGGAGAGCUGCUGACCAGGAGAGCUGCUCACUCCUCCUCUGGCUUCUUGGCUGGCUGGCCGGGUUCCCUUGUUGCUUGAAUAACCACAACCCCUCUGAAGAGGCAUCCCACUGGGCCAAGUCUGGCCUUCUGCCCCCACCUCAGGCCCACUGCCUCUGUGAUGGUCAGCCUGUCGCACCGCUGCAGUCUGUCUCCCAGAUGAGACCAGAUGCCACCUCCUCAAGGAGCGACAGCGCAAAGGCAGAUGCCAGUUAGAACCUGAGCUGUUCUCUCAGCAUUGGCUUCCUCCACAGGCACGCGGACACCGCGUGGGGAUGCAGGUGCUGCUGACCCAGAGAGCCGGGCACUCUGCAUAAUCCCACUCAGCCCCCAACCAGCGGGCUGUGCGAAUGGCGAGGGUCUCAAGUUCCUCUGGGGCCAAGCGCUGGCCAUCCCACACGGAGCUUAUCUUAGACUUUGACCUUGUUCACUGUCUAGUCUCGACCAGACGAAGAUGUCUGAGCUCCCCCUCAAGUCAUUCCAGCUGGGUCUGCAACAGCCUUUCCAAGUGUCUGGGGCCUCAGUUUCUCUGGCUGUUGCAAGGGGACCCCAGGGGCCUCUUGGGUCACCAGUUCAGUGAUGGCUGGGGCUGUAUCCACUGGUUACUUGUGCCACCGGCCCACCUGGAUGGCAGAGAUUUGGGGUCACAGGGCUCAGCAGAGGGUUGAUUUCCCCCCAGCAGUGCUGGACCUGCCUUGUGUGGGCAUGGCCAGGUGCCCCUGCUCCCAGGGAGCUCACAUCCAGGGCUGGGUAGGCAGGCAGGCAGGCACACAGGGCUCCAGGCCAGAGGCUGGGUUGAACAGGCUGAUCAGGGACCCAGAGAUUCCAGCGGGGAGAGGCUGUCUUCCCAGAAAAUCCACCUGAGCUUUCCACCCUCAGGACACAGACUAGGAACCUGACUCUGAAGCCUGAGGGGAAUAAACAUGGAUUCUAGAUGGACUCAGGCUUUCUUGCUGGAGCAGGCCAACCAGCUAAGUGUCUUGGCUGUUUGGGAGAUGGACAGUGCAGGAAGGAUGUCUUGGAAGCUUAUGGGAUACAGGCAAAAUGUCACUCCAUGUGGACCGCUUCUGCCAGGACUGGGCCUCCAUCACACUGUGUACCUGGGCCUUCCCAGGUCCUGUCUGGCUUUGGGUGACUCCCCAGCCAGCAGCUGCUUCAUCCAGAGCAAGAUAGAUGAGCACCCAUCAGGGUCCCCAGCUGAGAGCACUGGCUACAGAGGGUGUGCCGGCAGUGAGGUGACCUUCAGCAGGAACGGAGGAGGCAGGUCUGAUGACCACAGAGGACAGGACGCAGGGGCUCCACAUGCCCAAUAGCGUGAACACUGAAGCCAAGGGCCUCCGAUCAAAUUCUGGUUCCGCCAAGUACACACCUCGGGACCUCCGGUGAGUGACUGAACCCCUAACCUUCGGCUUCUUUGCCCUUGAGAGGAAUUAACAGUGUUGCUCACCUCGCAGGGUUGAUGUGAGAUGCUGGAGAUAAAGGGUUUUAGCCCAGCACCUGGGACUCAGUGAGGACCCGUAAAUGACAGCUUGAAGGAAACGAAUGGGUUCUCCUUUUAGGCCCCUAAAUCUAAGGAGAGUUUAAUCAAAGCCCCAAACUAGCUAUUCCCCAAGUUCGGCCCCUCCAGAGAGGGGUCGCCCCCUAAUGUCAAACAGAGCUGAGAGAGUGAGGGAUCCAUCAAUAAUGUGACCAGAGCGGCCAAGGACAGGGAGUCCAGAUGCCAGAGGGGUCUCCUGAGGCCGGGGUCUCCUUCGCCUCCAGUGGGCUUGAAGGCUGGAGGGAAGGCAGUGUAGGGCUGCGGGCAUCCUGCAGGUGCCCAAUGCCGGGCCGUGGCUGCAAGAAAAGUGCUGCCACAGCUCCUUACCAGCAUGUUUGCAUUUAUACUGUUUUAAUUCCAAUGUGACUUUUAGGCCGGAGACACUGGAUGCCACAAACAAGCUGUUUUAUUUCCCCUCCUAAACCCCACUAUGAUUUAUAGGCCAGCUCUGGUGUAAUCCCAUUCUUUGCUCAUGAAGGAGAGGGCAGCUGUUUACAUGGCUCCGUGGGGCAAGGUCUGCCUGACAGAUGUGGGGUCGGGUGGCUGUGCACACGUGCUUGUCUUUGGCAUUCUGCCCUCUUAAAAGCUUUCAACUGAUUAUUUUUUAAAACUUUUUAGUCCGUGAAAAAAUGUAAAUAAGUUUGUAAUAACAGAUGCUCUUUUAUGGGCAUUACUUUUAUGCUUCAAUUAAAAAUUUCCCAAUCGUCAAAUGAAAGAGCGUGAAAUUAUUACCUCCAAUAAAGGCUCCUAUUGCUUCUCUGCUCAGAAGCACCUUUCAUCAGAGUAGAUCAAAGUGCAUCCGAAACACUAAUUAACUGAGCCUCAGAACCCUCCGUGAGAAAGGGAAGUCCCAUAGCCUCGCUAGCUGAUAAGGCAGGCCAGGGACAGAGAGGGUGAUUCAUUUACCAAAGGUCACACAGCAGGGCUGUGCCAAAGAACAGAAUUUCUAUGUGAGCUGGGGGGAUGGGAAGGUGGGGAAAGUAGGAAGUUCGCUAAUUAAUAAUGCUCAGACCCAAAAGCACUGUAUUAAAAAAAAAGAAAGAAAGAAAAAGGGACUUGAAUUGACUCUAGGACUGAGCUGGGCACCUAUUAUAUAACCCACCUCCCCAGUUCCUGGGAAAGUUCGUUCUGCAGGUGCUUGCUGACCACUUUGAGAAGGAUGCUUGUCUUUGCCAGGUUUCUUUCCGCGGCCAGUGAAAGGGCUUUCAGAUGCUCUGGCAGCUCCUCUUUCCAUAUGCUUUAAAUGGUGCUGACUUUUAAACUCAUGUUCAGCGAGUGCUCUUGGCAGAAGAGAACGGAACAAAGAUGUACAGUGAUGGGAAACGCAAUCCAAAACCACAGAGUUCUCAAAGCACGCUCCCUUUGGAGAGCUCCUCUGGUUUAUGGAGCAGCCCUGGGACGUUACAUGGCGCAAUGAGCAAGUCUGUUUUGCCGAGCAGAAGGUUGGCUUCAGAGGGGAAGCCAUCACUCAGCUGGUAAGCCAGGCCUACACGGUGCUGCUCUGAUGGGCAAGGACCUGGGAGGCUAUGUGCUGGCAUUUGGGAGUACCCCACCUGGGAGGGACUGUGGCUGUGUCCUUCCUGCCCCAUCGGUGGUUCAAGGACUGCACCAUGCCAGUGCUGCCCCCUGGGCUGUGUGUCUGUCUGAGGUCCAGCUGUGCUGCUUGGGGAGAUUUCAGGGCUGGGAGGUAGGGGAGGCCUAGCCCUGUUUCACUGUCACGCAUCUACCAGUUCCGUCCCCCUCAUUAGCAGAGCAAGGACACAGGGAGAGCAUGCAGGUUUGGGGGGCAGAGGAUGCUGGGAACGCAAAGUAAGGGGCAGAGGACGUUCCCCGGGAAGUAAUACUGGGGUUUGCGGACAGACCUGUAACACCGCUAGGGGAGGGGCUGGGAGGGGCUCUCACGGUACCUCUGUAGUCACACCUCCCACCCAUCGAAGUCCUAAUGUCCUUCACAAGUCCCCCUCUAAGGGUACUUCUGUGAUGACAUCUGCUGGCACAGCUGAAGUUGGAUCUUGUCCCCAGGCUUCCUGUCUCCCGGCAUCUCAACUGUCUCUCCCAAUUAAUGUCUGUGUUUUUCCCGAUGUCUCCGCCACAAAGGCAAGUGCUUUGCAGAGUCCGAGCUCCGUGGGUAUGGGCUGAACACGCAGAGAAACACACCCAC